rnacentral:hammerhead_ribozyme from 1 species
AUUCGGCUGACGAGUCUCGGGAUAGUACGAAACGCGCGUCCUGGAU